CAUGCAUGUCUAAGUACAAACUAUCUUAAAAGUGAAACCGCAAAAGGCUCAUUAUAUCAGUUAUGGUUUAUUAGAUCAUUAACAGUUACUUGGAUAACUGUGGUAAUUCUAGAGCUAAUACAUGCUAUAUAAACAUGGACCUUAUUGGAACAUGUGCUCUUAUUAGUCUAAAACCAAGCGAUUUUUUUUAAAAUCGUUAUAACGGUUGAACUCUAGAUAAUUUGCCAAUCGUAUGGUCUCGUACCGACGAUAGAUCUUUUAAAUGUCUGCCCUAUCAACUAUUGAUGGUAGCAUCUAGGGCUACCAUGGUUGCAACGGGUAACGGGGAAUCAGGGUUCGAUUCCGGAGAGGGAGCCUGAGAAACAGCUACCACAUCUAAGGAAGGCA
rnacentral:rRNA from 1 species